rnacentral:rRNA from 1 species
UACUAGAGUAGCACUCGCAUAUCAAUAAGCGGAGGAAAAGAGACUAACAAGGAUUCCCUUAGUAACGGCGAGUGAAGCGGGAAGAGCUCAAAUUUGAAAUCUUCAAGGUUCUACCUUGACGAAUUGUAGUUUAAAGAAGUGUUUUCUGUUGGAGUUUUGGUAAAAGUUCUUUGGAAUAGGACAUCAUAGAGGGUGAGAAUCCCGUAUUUGACCAUUAUUUCCAGCUGUGUGAUACACUUUCAAAGAGUCGGAUUGUUUGGGAAUGCAGUCCAAAAUGGGUGGUAAAUUUCAUCUAAAGCUAAAUAUUGGCGAGAGACCGAUAGCGAACAAGUACCGUGAGGGAAAGAUGAAAAGAACUUUGAAAAGAGAGUUAAACAGUACGUGAAAUUGUCAAAAGGGAAGCGUUUGACACCAGUGUUGUUUAGUUGAAAAUCAAUUCAAUAGUUUUUGAUUCUAAGUAGUAUUGACUUCAUCAGCUUGCUGCUUUCUUCUCAGAAAUUAUUGAAUGCACUUUUCAGUUAACAAGUCAACAUCAAUUUCUUUUGUUGUAAAAGGGUAAGAGGAAGGUGGCUUGCGCUUCGGCUCAAGUGUUUAUAGCCUUUUAUCUCUGCAAUCGGAGAGAUUGAGGUCUGCAGCGUAGAUCCUUCGGGGUUAGAUACAUUGGUGCUAAGCUAUAGCCUUGUAUAGACAACUUGUUGACUAUGCUCAGUCAUGAAGCUUACUCGCUGAUGCUAUUUUACCUACGCUUAGGAUGUUGAAGAUAUGCGCGACACG